rnacentral:rRNA from 1 species
AACGAACGCUGGCGGCAGGCCUAAUACAUGCAAGUCGAACGCUCGUAGCAAUACGAGAGUGGCAGACGGGUGAGUAACACGUGGGAACCUUCCCUAUGGUUCGGAAUAGCUCAGGGAAACUUGAGGUAAUACCGGAUAAGCCCUUACGGGGAAAGAUUUAUCGCCAUUGGAUGGGCCCGCGUCGGAUUAGCUAGUUGGUGGGGUAACGGCCUACCAAGGCGACGAUCCGUAGCUGGUCUGAGAGGAUGAUCAGCCACACUGGGACUGAGACACGGCCCAGACUCCUACGGGAGGCAGCAGUAGGGAAUAUUGGACAAUGGGCGCAAGCCUGAUCCAGCCAUGCCGCGUGAGUGACGAAGGCCUUCGGUUGU